AGGGAUCUAGUUUAAAUAAAACAUUUGAAUUGCAAUCAAAAAUUAAAUAAUUAUUUUGAUCCUUA
rnacentral:tRNA from 1 species